UAAGGAAUCUUCCACAAUGGGCGCAAGCCUGAUGGAGCAACACCGCGUGAGUGAAGAAGGGUUUCGGCUCGUAAAGCUCUGUUGUUAAAGAAGAACACGUAUGAGAGUAACUGUUCAUACGUUGACGGUAUUUAACCAGAAAGUCACGGCUAACUACGUGCCAGCAGCCGCGGUAAUACGUAGGUGGCAAGCGUUAUCCGGAUUUAUUGGGCGUAAAGAGAGUGCAGGCGGUUUUCUAAGUCUGAUGUGAAAGCCUUCGGCUUAACCGGAGAAGUGCAUCGGAAACUGGAUAACUUGAGUGCAGAAGAGGGUAGUGGAACUCCAUGUGUAGCGGUGGAAUGCGUAGAUAUAUGGAAGAACACCAGUGGCGAAGGCGGCUACCUGGUCUGCAACUGACGCUGAGACUCGAAAGCAUGGGUAGCGAACAGGAUUAGAUACCCUGGUAGUCCAUGCCGUAAACGAUGAGUGCUAGGUGUUGGAGGGUUUCCGCCCUUCAGUGCCGGAGCUAACGCAUUAAGCACUCCGCCUGGGGAGUACGACCGCAAGGUUG
rnacentral:rRNA from 1 species